AUUGAACGCUGGCGGCAGGCCUAACACAUGCAAGUCGAGCGGAUGAUGGGGGCUUGCUCCCGGAUUCAGCGGCGGACGGGUGAGUAAUGCCUAGGAAUCUGCCUGGUAGUGGGGGACAACGUUUCGAAAGGAACGCUAAUACCGCAUACGUCCUACGGGAGAAAGCAGGGGACCUUCGGGCCUUGCGCUAUCAGAUGAGCCUAGGUCGGAUUAGCUAGUUGGUGGGGUAAAGGCCUACCAAGGCGACGAUCCGUAACUGGUCUGAGAGGAUGAUCAGUCACACUGGAACUGAGACACGGUCCAGACUCCUACGGGAGGCAGCAGUGGGGAAUAUUGGACAAUGGGCGAAAGCCUGAUCCAGCCAUGCCGCGUGUGUGAAGAAGGUCUUCGGAUUGUAAAGCACUUUAAGUUGGGAGGAAGGGCAGUAAGUUAAUACCUUGCUGUUUUGACGUUACCAAAAGAAUAAGCACCGGCUAACUUCGUGCCAGCAGCCGCCGUAAAAC
rnacentral:rRNA from 1 species